rnacentral:rRNA from 1 species
AGAUUGAACGCUGGCGGCAGGCCUAACACAUGCAAGUCGAGCGGCAGCACGGGUACUUGUAUCUGGUGGCGAGCGGCGGACGGGUGAGUAAUGCCUAGGAAUCUGCCUGGUAGUGGGGGAUAACGCUCGGAAACGGCGCUAAUACCGCAUACGUCCUACGGGAGAAAGCAGGGGACCUUCGGGCCUUGCGCUAUCAGAUGAGCCUAGGUCGGAAUUAGCUAGUUGGUGAGGUAAUGGCUCGACCAAGGCGACGAUCCGUAACUGGUCUGAGAGGAUGAUCAGUCACACUGGAACUGAGACACGGUCCAGGACUCCGUACGGGAGCAGCAGUGGGAAUAGUUGGACAAGUGGGACGAAAGCUAGAUACCAGCCAGUGCCCGCGUGGUCGUGAAAGAGGUCUUUAGGA